GAACAGAUUAUUAAAAGUAAUUAGUGUUUGGACGUUCGGCGUCCGUUUGCGCUAUCCGUUAUUAAGGUGUAACAUGUGCUUAAAUCUCUUUUACCUUACACCUUACCAGAUAGCGCGAACGGACCCCGAACGGAUAAUUGUUUUUCAAUCCGUUC
rnacentral:sRNA from 1 species